UUGACAGCCCUGAAGAAUGAGUUCUGAUCAUCUCCAGAGCAGGUACAGCACAGUCAGAAAUGCCACAUUUUUUUUUCCACAUUGCUGUACCAAUAAGUUUCAGCUGCUGCUCAAACAGAGUACUUCUAGGAACAAAAGGACAGUUUAAUCUCCAUGUUCAUUCAGUUUUUGGCCUCU
rnacentral:sRNA from 12 species